GGCUCCUUCUCUCCCUCGUCCACUUUCCUCCAAUCCAUGGCGACCGCCGCUCUUCCUAAAUCCGGAGGCCUACGAGGACUCGCCUCGUAGGGCUCCAGUCUCUGAAGAGGAGGAGAAAAUUAGGGGGCUUUAUCUCCGAUCCAAAGGAUUCCCAAGUGGAAAAUCCGGUGGAGGGAAUGAAGACCGCGGCUGCGAGGAUCAGAGCUUCCAUUUCUAUGUCAUAUCGAGUAAUGAAGCCCUUUUCCUCCCACUCCUUCACUAAUAUUGCUCCAUAGCCUCCCCCCUCUCUCUCUCCGUGGAGUUGUGGCUUACUCUUGUUUUUUCGAGCAUUUUUUGGGGAAAAAUUUCAUUUGGUAUGGCAUGCCCAUCGAUGAAUUUGCUUAAUAUGGCGGUCUAUCAUUCUCUUUAUUGUUCUAUUUGGUUCCAGUUUGUUUUAAAUUUCCAGAAACUUAAUGCUUAGAAUAAUACGUUUGAUGGUCUCCAUGUCCAUCAAGUCCCCUUUUUUAUUUUUAUAAUUUGAUAGCCGUGUUAUUUUUUUCCCUAAAAUCCAUAAAUUCUAAUGAUAGUCUGAAGGAGUAACGAAUGAAGUGCAAUUUGUGUAUUGGUGUAAAUUUAUGUAGUUAAUAUUUAGCAAACCUGAGUGUAUUAGUUGCCAUUUAGAUUUUAGCCAACUGGUGACAUACUAAAAGUGCCUUUUUUAAAAUUGUUGUUCUACUAAAUACAUUUUAAUUGAGACAGGAAAGUCAAUUGAUAGGUGGGAUGAUCUAGAUCAUUUAUUAGUCUAAUCACAAAAAUUUUAUUAGAUGCGUGGUUGGGAUAGGUGCUUAUCUAGCCAUUCAUGGCCUUCAAGCAAUCCAAAUUGCCUCAAAGCAUUCUUAUCAUGCGAUCCUUGUUAACUACAACAUGGGGUUUCAACAAUGUGAGUGGACCUAUUGUUUAGAAGUAACUACUUUUGGAAAUUUUGGACUCCCUGCACCAUUUUGUCAAAGUUAAAAAGAAAUGUGCUUUGUGUUAACCAAAUGAUACUACAUAGAGUUCCAGAGUGCCCAUUAUAGCAGCACCUGAUCACAUAGUGCAAAUCAUGGUAUUCUAGCUGUCUUAUUAAUUUGAAGAUUAACUUGAGAGGACUCCUACAAUUGGUAAGGUACAGUAUUGUAUGUAGCCCCUACACUAUUGGUUGACUAUGACUUAGUUAAAGAAGACAAAGAGAUUGCCCUGUAAAUGUUUUUCCAAAUUGUGAAAGUUUUUCAUGCUACCAUUCUUUAUAUUUCUUGGUUUCUUGGCAAUAUUUCCCACAAAACUAGAACACCAAUUAAAUGAUAUUCCAUUUAGCAAUUAACAACAUCACAGAUGUCUGUUGAUCUGUCCUAUGAAGAAAAAAUCAUGUGGUUAUAUUUCUGUCACAUAUGUUAAGACAUCGCCUCCAUAUUAAGAUUAACAAGUGUGCAGCAUGAGCUGCAAAACAGAAAGACCAACAUAUUUAGCAAAAUAUCAAGACAAUCAUUUAAUAGCAUAGAAUGAAGUAGAUGAACAAAACUACUAAGAUAGCAUAUUAAUACCUUAAUAAAAUGGCACCCUAGCCUGCACCUUUAUGUGUCUGAACAUAUUUUUACACCUUAGGCAUGGUUUGAUUACCAGAUGCUUUUCAUGGCUGCGCUCCCUUUUGAUGUUUAAUCUUUUCCUUCUCCUGCAUCUGCACUGUCAAAUUUUUCUUGGUUUCCUGCAAAUCAAAGGAGAAAAAGAAGAAACUCAGGAAAACAAGGUGUGAUCAUAUUUAAAUUAUUCAUAUGCAUGCGGCUAAAUUACCAGCUAAAAAAAACUUCUUAUUCAAAUUACCAGAAAGAAAGGAAUUGUUAUUCUUAGUAAGAUAAAUAUAGUUUUCGUCAAAAAGAUAUACCAUCUGAAGUAGGUCUUAUCUCUACAAAAAGUUUGUCUGCAUCAAAGUGUUAAAUAUCUACAUGAUAAAUUUUAUAUUGAGACAUGGUUUGCUUAUAUCUUUUAUAAUAAAUAAGUAGGUUUCGGUUGCCAUAUUAUUUUUAGAUACUCUAGAUAGCACAUAGCAUAACCAUGGCCGAUGAUGAGACCAGUAAUUUUGGUGGAGAGAUGUUUGAUGCAUUUUUGCAAUUUGUUUGAAGGCAAAGGUUCAGGCUUAAGCAAGUUGGAGAGGCAAGCUGGGUGAUCUUAUUAGUGAGAGAAGCAUAUGCAGGUCAUAUCCUAAAUGUGCGCAUGUCCUCUGCAAGCCUCCACCUUGGUGAUCUCUUCUGCAUGUUAACCAGAUCACAUUACAUGUCUGAUGUUUGUAUUCAGUGUCACCAUAACUCCCAAUACAUGAUUUUGUGGUGGUAAAUUUGCAUUUGUUGUCUCACCAGGUAACUCUCCACUGGUACAUUAGUCAGCCAGAAACUCCCAUCUCCUCUUAUAGCCAGGAUAACUUUCAAGUUUUUGUUUGCACUCGAAAGUUGUCUGGCGUACUAUCACUUUAAAAAUAGGUAGUCGAAUCAUUUGAACUUCAAGGCAGGCAUAUAGUCUGCCUAUAGUAUUUAAUAGAUAUGAUGCUAGACGUACAACACAAUGUCCAGCAGACUGUUCGGGUAUGAGUCUUUUAAAAACAAACUAGUUACUUCCUCCAGGAAGUUAUUUUAAUAUUUUGGGUUCGUUAUGUCUGAUUAUACAAAAUCAUUCAGCAAAUUUGUUUGGUGCAGCCAAGUUUUAACUGGUAGCACUACCACCCUGGGAUCUGUUGUUUCCUCAUGGUGAGAGUUAAUUGAGGCUAUUAAAUCAAUGACUCAUAUAGUGGAAUUGCUCAUCAGCAGUAUCAGUGUUCGGUCAUAUAUUCUUCAUGCUUUGUUGUGCACCUUGUUUUUGGAAGUUCAAAAAUUCCUUUGUUUUGCAAUCAUAAAUGGUUGAAGUUGUUACCUGCCAUUGUUUGUAAUAUGUCAAGUGUCCUCCAUUACUUAGACAUGAGGUUUGGCCUUUUCUUUCGCUCAAAUUCGCAGCAUCUCAGUGUAAGACAGAGAACCUGCUCAGCCUGCAGAAAUAGCCAAUGCCCGGAGGACUCAUCGAAGGUUUGGUGCACCACCCUCCUAUCAUAUGCCUCCUUCACCUGCUCCACAAUAUUCAACUCUGGCAGUCCUGCCAACAGCUGAAGGACUAUGAUCCAAAAAGAAUAGACAUCAGACUCGGGAAUCAGCUGCUCAGUGUUGAGGAAAACAGGGUCCAUGUAUCCAAAUUUUCUCCCUGGGUUUGUCUCAUGGCAGAUUGUUGCUUCCUGUGAUAGGUCCUGAUGUAUCAGCCGAGCAGUACCAAAAUCUCGAAGCUGGAUGAUGUCAUUAGCAUCGAAGAGUAUAUUUCCAAAUUUUAUAUCUACAUGAAUUAUGGCAUCAAGCUUGCUGGAGUGAAGGCAGAUGAGGGCAGAACGCUGCUCAUUGAUGACACAGAAGCAGUCCUGCGAUGAGAGUCCACAGGCAAGCCUUUCGCUGAGGUUACUAUUCUAAAUUCAGAAUCAAUUCAAACGCGACUCAAUCCCGAAUCAAUUCUGAAUAAUAGUGAAUUGGGUUGUUUGUUUGGUUUGGUUCAGCCUGCCUGUUAUGUUUGGUUUCCACCUGCUAUUGAAGAAUUGACUCAUUUUAAUUUAUGAGCUAACUUUGGAUCAUAAGAGACCCAAUCCAGAGCCUGAACUGAAGUGCAUGCUCCCAUGAAUGUCCUUCCAAUCUGGAAGAAUAUGGUAGCCUUGCUGCCUCACUUCUGGAACCGAUUCAAAUAUAAACUAGGCAAUGGGAAGAUGCUUGGUUGUCUGACUGUUCUUUGGACUCCCUAUUUCUAAACUUUUAUUCAGCUGGUAAGAAAAGAUGGACCUCAGUGGAAUCGGAUUGGAACAGAAGGUUUGAAUAGAGAAUUCACUCUAGCUUUGUUAGCAGUGAGUCUGAUGCAAAUAAUUGCGGCCGGUAUGAGGGCCAAGGAAACAUGGUGGACCUGGAGGCCACUAAUGAGUUCAAUUUAGAGAUGCUACUGCACUAGGACCUAUGAUCAUUCUAAGAUGUAUAAAUAUGAAUUACCUCAAAAAAAGAUAUGUGAAUAUGAAA
rnacentral:lncRNA from 1 species